AAACGGUAACAGGAUGUGCUUGCACAUCGCUGACGAGUGGCGGACGGGUGAGUAAUGCUUAGGGAUCUGCCUCUGUGUGGGGGAUAACUAUUGGAAACGAUAGCUAAUACCGCAUAAUGUUUACGGACCAAAGGGGGCGUUUGCUCCCGCGCAGAGAGGAACCUAAGUGAGAUUAGCUAGUUGGUAAGGUAAUGGCUUACCAAGGCGACGAUCUCUAGCUGUUCUGAGAGGAAGAUCAUGCCACACUGGGACUGAGACACGGCCCAGACUCCUACGGGAGUGCAGCAGUGGGGAAUAUUGCACAAUGGGGGGAACCCUGAUGCAGCCAUGCCGCGUGUGUGAAGAAGGCCUUCGGGUUGUAAAGCACUUUCAGUUGUGAGGAAAGGUUAGUAGUUAAUACCUGCUAGCUGUGACGUUAGCAACAGAAGAAGCACCGGCUAACUCCGUGCCAGCAGCCGCUGGUACUACGGAGGGUGCGAGCGUUAAUCGGAAUUACUGGGCGUAAAGCGCACGCAGGCGGUUUGUUAAGCUAGAUGUGAAAGCCCCGAGCUCAA
rnacentral:rRNA from 1 species